rnacentral:rRNA from 1 species
GAUGAACGCUAGCGGGAGGCUUAACACAUGCAAGUCGAGGGGUAGGGAAGCAAUUCCUGAGACCGGCGGACGGGUGCGUAACGCGUAUGCAACCUGCCUUAUACAGGGGGAUAGCCCAUGGAAACGUGGAUUAACACCCCAUAGGAUUACGUGAUCGCAUGAUUUUGUGAUUAUAACUGAGGUGGUAUAAGAUGGGCAUGCGUCUGAUUAGGUAGUUGGUAGGGUAAUGGCCUACCAAGCCGACGAUCAGUAGGGGUUCUGAGAGGAUUACCCCCACACUGGUACUGAGACACGGACCAGACUCCUACGGGAGGCAGCAGUGAGGAAUAUUGGUCAAUGGCCGGAAGGCUGAACCAGCCAUCCCGCGUGCAGGAUGACGGCCCUAUGGGUUGUAAACUGCUUUUGUACCUGAAGAAUAGGCCCAACGAGUUGGGAUUUGCCGGUAAGGUAUGAAUAAGCAUCGGCUAACUCCGUGCCAGCCGCCGCCGUAA